rnacentral:rRNA from 1 species
CACCUGUUCCCAUGUCGAACACAGUAGUUAAGCUUCUUAGCGCCGAUAGUAGUUGGUGGGAAACUACCUGCGAGGAUAGGACGUUGCCACGC